GAGAGGUGUCCGAGUGGUCGAAGGUGCUUGACUCGAAAUCAAGUGUGGUGUUGAGCCACCGUGGGUUCGAAUCCCACCCUCUC
rnacentral:tRNA from 1 species